rnacentral:rRNA from 1 species
CCUACGGGUGGCAGCAGUGAGGAAUAUUGGUCAAUGGCCGGAAGGUUGAACCAGCCAUGCCGCGUGAAGGUCAGUGCCCUAUGGGCGUUAAACUUCUUUUGUGCGGGAGCAAUAAUGGUCACGUGUGGCCAGACGAGAGUACCGUACGAAUAAGCAUCGGCUAACUCCGUGCCAGCAGCCGCGGUAAUACGGGGGAUGCAAGCGUUAUCCGGAUUUAUUGGGUUUAAAGGGUGCGUAGGCUGUGAGGUAAGUCAGCGGUGAAAUGCCCCCGCUCACCGGGGUGAAGUGCCAUGGAUACUGGCUUGCUGGAAUGAGAAUGCGGUGGGAGGAAUGUGUGGUGUAGCGGUGAAAUGCAUAGAUAUAACACAGAACACCGAUUGCGAAGGCAGCUCACGAAGCCGCGAUUGACGCUGAUGGACGAAAGCGUGGGUAGCAAACAGGAUUAGAUACCCCAGUAGUC